CCUACGGGUGGCAGCAGUAGGGAAUAUUGCUCAAUGGGGGAAACCCUGAAGCAGCAACGCCGCGUGGAGGAUGAAGGUUUUCGGAUUGUAAACUCCUUUUUUUAGAGAAGAUAAUGACGGUAUCUAACGAAUAAGCACCGGCUAACUCCGUGCAAGCAGCCGCGGCAAGACGGAGGGUGCAAGCGUUAUUCGGAAUCACUGGGCGUAAAGCGCGCGUAGGCGGGAUAGCAAGUCAGAUGUGAAAUCCUAUGGCUUAACCAUAGAACUGCAUUUGAAACUGUUAGUCUAGAGUGUGGGAGAGGUAGGUGGAGUUCGUGGUGUAGGGGUAAAAUGCUUAGAGAUCAAGAAGAAUACUCAUUGCGAAGGCGGCCUGCUAGAACAUAACUGACGCUGAUGCGCGAAAGCGUGGGGAGCAAACAGGAUUAGAUACCCCGGUAGUC
rnacentral:rRNA from 1 species